rnacentral:lncRNA from 10 species
AGAGGGAGCUCCCUGGGUCCCGAUGCAGCUGCCCAAACUGCAGCUGCAGACCCAGGCCUCCAGCUCUAUGGAGCAGGCUGGAGCCAUGCCCUCCUGGGUGGGGCUGCAGCCACCCAAACCUCGGCUGUGGAUCCAAGCCUCCCUGUGCUCUUGGUGGGGACCGUGAGCAGGACAAGAACUUGGACAAGAACUUGGGCAAAGGUGCCACUGGCCACAGAGGUUUCUGGCCAGGCAGUUGACACCCCAAAGAUCCCAUAACACCAGCAUCAUGCUUCCUGUACAGCCUGUGGAACCAUGAGCCAAUUAAACCUCUGUUCUUUAUAAAUUAUCCAGUCUCAGGUAUUUCUUUAUAGCAGUGCAAGAGAACAGACUAAUACACCUUCAUUCUGAUUAGGCUACAUAACUACCUCUGGGUUAAUCAGUGUCCCAGAGGAAAGCAUGAUUUGAUUUGGAGGGAGUAGGUCUGAUGCUCCACACAAAUCAUGUGCACUGGUUGGGGCAAGGGAGUUCUCUCCAGAGAAACUGGAACAGUAUUGAGAGCAAGGGAAAUGGAUUCUGAGUAGCUAAAAACACUAACUGUUCAUACACUAGCUCUGAGGGCGAUGUCUAGUAAGAAAUCAGCAUUAGCUGACUCUCUGCAGUGUCUUCCACCCCAAACCCUUAACUCCAGCUUCCCUUUUGGCUUUAGUGAGAGCACUGCCUUUGUUAGGGCAGAUGCUCCUGGCAUUCCCCCAACUCUGCUAUUCCUUUUGGUUUUAUUUUAUUUUAUUUUAUUAUUUUAUUUUAUUUGAGACGGAGUCUUGCUCUGUUGCAAAGGCUGGAAUGCAGUGGCACGAUCUCGGCUCACUGCAACCUCUGCCUCCCAGGUUCAAGCAAUUCUCCUGCCUCAGCCUCCCGAGUAGCUGGGGUUACAGGCACCCGCCAUCACACCAGGCUAAUUUUUGUAUUUUUAGUAGAGAUGUGGUUUCACCAUGUUGGCCAGGCUGGUUUCAAACUCCUGACCUCAGGUGAUCUGCCCGCCUUGGCCUCCCAAAGUGCUAGGAUUACAGGCAUGAGCCACUGCACCCGGCCCCCUUUGGCUUUAAAUACUCAGCUGUGAACCCAGCUCAUCUGCCAGGCCAGAAUGUGGCGAAUCUCCCCGCAUCCAGUCCUGCUCUUCCAACUGCCUGGCAAUGUCCUUGGCUAUUAGGGCCAUUAUCAGCCCAUCCCUCCCACCCACCACUCCAGUUCAGUCCAAUGCCUCCUUCAAGUUUCAAAGUUGCCUCUCAGUU